CGCCCUGGGGAGUACCGGGACGCGUGCUGGGGCGGAGAUGCUGCGCUCCCUGCUGCCGCGGCUGGAUCUCCCCUGAGGGGCUGUUUGUUCCAAUGCGCAUUAUACAGGGCCAGGCCCAGCCUGGGUCCUGACAUCACAAAGGCACUGCAGGCACUGGAGGUGGGCAAGAGGCGUCAGUCCAGCCCCUCGGCUCCCUGCAGCCCAUCCCCAGGACCCUGCUCCAGCCCUUUCCCUUGGCAGAGUACCAGUCUCCCUGCAGCUCCGCUCUGUCCCACACUGCGCCCUGGCAGAGCUCCCCCUGGCCGAACCCUCCCCAGGCCACUGUGCUUGGGGCUCUUUCGACCAGACCCUGUGUGCUUUAACCCUCCAGAGCCUGAGCAGAGCCCAGACACGUCCCCUGGGCUGGGAUCCCUGGGUACGUUCUCAGGGUGCGGCUCCUCUGUCCAGCCCCCCUUUGCUGGUUCCACUAUUUCAUAAUCACAGUUCCGUACCGUCGGCCAGAAUUCAUACACUGCCCCCAGACAGAUCCCACCAGUCAUCACAAACUCUGCUAGCAAUUCUUCUGUCCCACUGCACCCUCGUUAGGGGGGACACUGACCCUCCAGCUCCCAAAGAUUUCCAGCGAGGGCAGGACAGCUAAUCUCGAUGUCUGGGCAAGUUCCCGACUGAUUCCCCAGCCAGUCUCACUUGGGUACAGGAUCCUCCACCUUCUCCCCCCGGACUCUUCUGUAGCGUUGCUGUUAAACAGCUACUGCAUCCCAACCCAGAGGUGGCUGCACUUCAGUGCUGGGUGAGAUAUCCCUAUGAACACAGAUCCUGACCGUACAGUCCUAAUGCCGGGAACUCCCACUGAAGACAAGAACAUCCUUCUGGAAAGGCGGGCACAGAACCGGGCAGUAUUCCAGCAGCGCUCGCACCAGCCUCAGACGAGAUCCCAUAUAGAAAUCUCUGUGUUGGAUACAACACCGUUUGUGCAGAACGGCCCCAUCCCGGGAGAUUUCUUUGCAUUGAAAUAAAACAUGCAGCCUGGCAACAGCCGUUUAAUCUGCAAAACUGGGGCAGUGGUGCCAGCCGAGGUGCAAUCUUAUCAGCGCUCACAGGCUGCAGCCGCCACUCACCGUGCACAACAGCCUCAUUCCAGAGGGGCCGGUACUGACGCGAGUCGGAGCUGGGCGCUCCCUGCAGCAGGAGUCACUCUUCGAAGAGCCUCAUGCAUGGGGCUGGUGCCUUUCCGCCCAGCGCCGCCCGUCCUGCACGGAGAGGAGUCAUCACCGCCUCCCCUGGGGCCUGGCAGCCGAUGAGAAGCAAUGUUCAGAAAUGGGGGGCGGAUCCCAUCCACAGCUGCAGGCCUUCGCCGACCUGACACCCCCGGAACCCUGCAGGACAUGCCGAGCGGCCUAUAGUCAGAGCCUUGGCUUGACCUCUCCCUUCUAACAGCGCUGACCCGGGGGUGCCGAGCUGAGCUCAAUACGAGGCCAGGUCUACGCUAAAAAGUUAGGUCGACCCCGCUACGUGGCUCUGAGUAUGGAAAAUCCACCCCCUGAGCCAUGGCAGCGCCGGGUGGAUGAAAGCUUUCUUCUGUCAGCCUAGCUCCUGCCUCUCGCGGGGGUGGAUUACCGACGAUGGGAGAACCCCUCCCGUCGCUGUAACCUUCAUCUCUCUGUGCUAACCUAAGGCCUUCCCAGGCUGUGCCCAGCUGACUAAUAAACCGACUGUUUGCAAAGUGCUGCCUGGGUGUCACUGCAAAGACUGAGAGUCCCUGCAAAUACCGUGUCCGUGGGACGCGCAGGGCGGAGCUCAGGGCUCAGUCUCCAGAGGCGGUGAGGCCGGGUGGCCUUCCCUGAAGAGUGAGACCCCUCGGGGGUCUGGCACAUCUAAGAGGUUCCUCCCAGAGACCGUUCCGAAGCCGGGGGCGUAGCACCGAUCCCUCGGCUCCAUCACAGGGGGAAUGUUGGGCCGCUCGUUGAGGGAGUUGAUAUUUCAGGGAUACAAACCCUUUGAAGUCUCUGGUGUGGACACCAUCUAGUGCAUGCUGGGCGGGGAGGAGAAAAGUUGAGUGGGGGAGAGAGAUGACUAGUUCACAUCCAUCCGACGUGGCGACACCCUGACGGCACCCGGCAUAAGGUGGCUGAAAUCUGCACCAGAGCACAGGGCACAGCCUGGCAGAGCUCUCCUCCCCAGCUCUGGCCGGCUGGCCUUCUGCCUGGGGUUCAGGGGCAUCUCUGGCUCCGUCUCUGCCUGAAUCUCUGGGGUGGGGUUAGGUCUUGCAAAGAGAUCUAGACCAUCCGGGGUAAUAUCCUCCAGGCCAGGAUCCCUGGUCGCUUAGGCACCUUCUGAUGCCCCAGCCAAGCUGUGCAGAAACCCAUGCCAGGACCCCGUGGUGGUCUCCCAGGAAACAUCCGGUCCAGCUCCUCAGAGGAAGUGCAGGCAAUGGGAGCAUCACUGCAGAUCCUGUUCUGUGCUGAGCGGAACUGUGAUUCUGCCAGAGCUCCCUGGCUUCAGCCCCUUCCCCCACAUUUCUCUGCUAGCUGCUCCUAUAGCGUUGCGUGCUGCUGACUUCUGUUCCGAUGGGACUAGCCGUGCUCCUGUCCCCAGCCAGAGGCCAAGGAAGCCCAGCACCUCCGGACCAGACACGCAGACGCCCGGCACAUGGCUGCAAUAAUGGGUCCGUGCCCGUGUUUGUGAACUCGCCACACCGCUGGCCAUGUGCCAGCAUUGACAAAGGGAGGUGACAUCUGGUCAAGAGGAGCCCAGAGCAGCAGAAGGCAUGAGGCCAGGCAGCAAUGCAGUGUGGGAUAGCGGGGGGAGGACUGCCAGAAGCGUUCUGGCGAAUCUGGGCUGCAGCCACACACACCUUAUGCCACCAUCGCUCAUUCCAAACCAGGGUUUGUCACUUCCAACGUGGCUUAGCAAGAGUGGGAUAGGACGCCAGAGAAGUUGAGAAAACGCCUUGUGUGUGUGGGGACGCGCAGCAGCUCAUGCCAGAAAUCUAAAGUUCCACUGAAAACACGUUCCCAUGCCAACACGCCCUUACAGUCAGACCUGGCGCUCUGUCCUGGGCCUUUACUGCUUUGCGGCCUGUUCACAGGCACAGGGCUACGUUCCCAUGCACUCGGAGCAGACGCAAACUUCCAGUGGAAACAAGCUUUGAUGAGAGAGUAAGGGAAACAAGAAAGAACCAAAGUCAAGUCUCCAGGCGAGAGCGUGGUGUGCGCAGGUCCUAUGUACCAACCUGCAGGCCAUUCCAGAUUCAAUCCUGGACAUGAGGUGGCCACUCAUGUGAUUCUGUGGUGCCCCCUGUGGCCAAUCUAAGCAAGGCAAUGGUGGGAUCUGAAAAGGGUCCAGCUCCAGGCGUGGUCUCUCGCAAUCAGCGUCUCUCCUCUGGGCUUCAUUUAUUCCAGACACCGAGCUCCUCCCAGGGCCCUCACCUUUCGUCUCCAGCUGAUUGGCAAGAUGAGCAAAUGAAUUCAAACGUGAAAUGUCAUUCCUGCUGCUCAGGCAGUGCAACAUGGCAGGAGUAAUACAGAUGGUACCUUCCCGCCAGCCCGCCAGCCUUUUCUCAUGCUAAUGCGCCAGCAGGAUUUCAUUCUUACCUCCCAUUAACACUCAUUAAAGUGUCAU